rnacentral:rRNA from 1 species
AUUGAACGCUGGCGGCAGGCCUAACACAUGCAAGUCGGACGGUAGCACAGAGGAGCUUGCUCUUCGGGUGGCGAGUGGCGGACGGGUGAGUAAUGUCUGGGAAACUGCCCGAUGGAGGGGGAUAACUACUGGAAACGGUAGCUAAUACCGCAUAACGUCGCAAGACCAAAGUGGGGGACCUUCGGGCCUCACACCAUCGGAUGUGCCCAGAUGGGAUUAGCUGGUAGGCGGGGUAACGGCCCACCUAGGCGACGAUCCCUAGCUGGUCUGAGAGGAUGACCAGCCACACAGGAACUGAGACACGGUCCAGACUCCUACGGGAGGCAGCAGUGGGGAAUAUUGCACAAUGGGCGCAAGCCUGAUGCAGCCAUGCCGCGUGUAUGAAGAAGGCCUUCGGGUUGUAAAGUACUUUCAGCGGGGAGGAAGGUGCUGAGGUUAAUAAGCUCAGCAAUUGACGUUACCCGCAGAAGAAGCACCGGCUAACUCCGUGCCAGCCGCCGCGGUAA